CUUCCGUUUGACCAGUGUGUGCAACGUGAGCUGGUGGAUUCAAAGAGAAAGUACAAGAGGACGUCAUUUUCGCGGUAAUAUCUCGCAACUAAUGUAACAGCAACAGCGCUCUGCAGAAGAAAAAAUACUCGAGUCGGAUUAUGAAAAUGUUUGUAAAAACAUGGCAACGUACGUUUUUAACCUUUUUAGCACUGUAUUGGACCUCUUUUAAGGCGAUGGUUUGCAGUGGAGUGAGAGGGGAACACUUUAAAAUCUAUAAUAAUUGGAUUUUUAUGGUGGCUUCUAAGAAUAGCCGGGAGAUUACUGUGCUGCUGUGGACAUGAUAACUCUGACGUUCAGCUCUCAGUUGAAGAAACAGCGCCAUCUCUUGGCGUAAGCACUGUAAGACCAUGGAAUUAUGGUAAAGGUGGAGGUAUUAUCAGGACAGUUUAGACAGAACACUUGGAUCAAGAUUAAGAAACGGCUUUAAGUUUAGCAUUUAUAAGAUGGAGGAUUGGCCCCCUUGAAAUCAUUGUUGCCCCAGCCACAUCUGUUGCAAAUUCCCGAGAGGAGCUGAUGUCAAGGUGGGGCAGAGUUACUGGCACUCUCACCCCAUUUUUAAAGAAGGAGUUCUCUGGACCUACAUUUGGUUUGGUCCAUGCAAAGCAGCAUUAGCAUAAUCUUAUCUAUUUAAUGGUAAUAGGGAGCCCUGCCACGUGUUGUCGCUAAGAUUUAAUUUGACCCACAGUGUUGAGAUUUUUAAUGUCAAAUGAAUUCAAUCACUCAUUCAUUCCUUCUUCAUCAUAAGCAAGAAUAUCAGGGCUGAUAUAUAGCACACAAUUGCGAGUGUGAUAUUCCUUUUAUACCAAAGUGCAAUAACAGUAUUUUUAAGACCAGUAAGUAAAAAUAUUUCUUCUUUCAAAGAAAAUAGUUCCAAAAGAAGCCAAAGGAUCAAGCUUCCAAAUUAUGCACAGGCUGAAUAUAAAUAAAUACUUUAUUGGAGUAUUUUCUUACUUCAUCAAACCAAAGUAUCUUACUUUUUGCACCACUACAUUUCAGAAAUAUUGUUCCUCACUCGUGCAUUUGAAGACAUAACAGUGAUGUCUGAUAGAAUCAUUCUGCUAAGUCUAUUCUUUUGAUGAACCUGUUGGUUCACAAAUCACACGGAACGAUUCAUUUAUGAAGUGGAGAGAUCCAAUUGCAGCUGUUCUCGACUCACUGAUUCCAACGAACCGGUCAAAUUGAGUCUCCAGUUAACAGCACACCAAAUUAGUCCUAUCUGACUCAAAAUGAGCCAAGAACAUGGGCAGAUUUAGUGCUCCUGGGGCCUGUACCAUGAAGUCGUAUUAGCUGGCUGACCAGGUAAGUUUCAGUCUUUUUUACACCAAUCCUGGGUUUUAGGUACCAUGAAAGUUGCUUGGCUUUUUGCAGUGUUCAUCACCAUAGUAACUUACACUCCACAGCUAACCUGCUUCGGGGCAGGUUAUGUUCUAUUUUAGAGAUCGCAAACCGAAAUUUGACCAAUCAGCUUAAAGCAAAGUGACACAUCUCUGAUAAUAUAGAAUAUAAAUAAGCUUUAGAAUCAAUAUAUAAAGCUUUA